CCUACGGGAGGCAGCAGUGAGGAAUAUUGGUCAAUGGGCUUACGCCUGAACCAGCCAAGUCGCGUGAGGGAAGACUGCCCUAUGGGUUGUAAACCUCUUUUGUCAGGGAGCAACGACGACUACGUGUAGCCAGACGGAGAGUCCCUGAAGAAAAAGAAUCGCCUAACUCCGUGCCAGCAGCCGUGGUAAUCCGGAGGAUGCGAGCGUUAUCCGGAUUUAGUGGGUUUAAGGGGUUCUUAGGCGGAAUACAAGGUCAGCGGUAACAUCGCGGGGCUCAACCUCGCUCCGCCGUUGAAACUGGCGUUCUAGAGUGGGCGAGAGGUAUGCGGAAUGCGUGGUGUAGCGGUGAAAUGCAUAGAUAUAACGCAGAACUCCGAUUGCGAAGGCAGCAUACCGGAGCCCAACUGACGCUGAAGCACGAAAGCGUGGGUAUCGAACAGGAUUAGAUACCCCUGUAGUC
rnacentral:rRNA from 1 species